CAAGAAUUGGACAUUCAACCAACUGAGCCACCCAGGGUGGCCCAUGUCCUCGUGUGUGCGGCGAUCUCUGAUUCCACAGUCACGUCUGUCUGAACUCACUCUGUGGCAAAACCGACACGAAGCUGCUUAUCUCUGGACAUAAGAUAACAUGGUGAUUGCUUAUUCGGGGUCCCACAUCUGCGAACCAGCCCAGAGACUGUCCAAAGAUGUAUCUAAUCUUUCCCAUCACUCCACCCUCUGAGAGUACGGUGCCAGUCUCUUCAUUGUCUUGCUCAAGAACCGUCAAUAGCUCCACAGGGUCCCCAGGUUUAGAAAGUCCAGACUCUGGAGGGGUCCCCCUCCAAUCGGGACCCGCCAAGCACUCCAUCUGGCCUGGCGUACGCUGACCUAGCAGAGAAUCUAUAGGGACCCGCCUUAGUGCCUUCGCCGAAGCACCUUCGAGAACCAACUCAUUCCCCUUCUUCCAGGAAGCCUUCCUUGACUGCACUAGCCUCACUGCCUGCUUAUCUUCAGCCACCGUUUUGCCAGUGCUAUUCGACAUGCCUCCACCCUACAUUUCCGUCCUGUUCCAGAAAAUAAAAAGCACCCACAUGCAGA